rnacentral:sRNA from 1 species
GAUACUGGUGGUUGGCACUCCUGGUCUCCGGGAUGGGGUUCGAGUCCCUACGGUGUC